rnacentral:rRNA from 1 species
CCUACGGGAGGCAGCAGUAGGGAAUAUUGCUCAAUGGCGGAAACGCUGAAGCAGCAACGCCGCGUGGAGGAUGAAGGUUUUCGGAUUGUAAACUCCUUUUGUUAGAGAAGAUAAUGACGGUAUCUAACGAAUAAGCACCGGCUAACUCCGUGCCAGCAGCCGCGGUAAUACGGAGGGUGCAAGCGUUACUCGGAAUCACUGGGCGUAAAGAGCGCGUAGGCGGGAUAGCAAGUCAGAUGUGAAAUCCUAUGGCUUAACCAUAGAACUGCAUUUGAAACUGUUAUUCUAGAGUAUGGGGAAGGUAGGUGGAAUUCUUGGUGUAGGGGUAAAAUCCGUAGAGAUCAAGAGGAAUACUCAUUGCGAAGGCGACCUGCUAGAACAUAACUGACGCUGAUGCGCGAAAGCGUGGGGAGCGAACAGGAUUAGAUACCCCAGUAGUC